CAUGUAGGCGUACCAGUUUCAGGAGAACCAAUGAUUUUCCUGAAGGAGGCUGUGGUCCUGUGGUUGUAAGAACAAAGAAUCCCCUGGACAGAGGAAAAAGGUCUGGAAUAGACUGCUGAAGUUAAGGGGUAGGAAGAAAUUGGCCCCGUUGAGACAAAUUCCACAUUGGAAACAACAGGAAACCAUUGUGGAAAGUACAUUGGACUUACAUGAAUACAGUUUGGAUUAAACUACAUUUUCAACUCUGAGGAGUAUGGGUAGGAGAUGAAGGUGGGCAGUGGAGGUGUUUAGUCUAACGAGGACACAGUUGCAAUGGUGAGGGACGAAGGAUCGUGUCCGGAAGUGAGAAGCCAUCACUGUGGGAUGGAAGAGGUCAAUCUGAGAUGGGCAUAGUACCAUCUCUUUGUUUGGAUAGCAUUCUGAGGAAGGCAAGGGAGUCUUGGAGAAGGUUCGAGCUUUUUUAAACAUUACAUAUGAGCUGUGUCAGCAGCUGGAUCCAGCCUUUGUGUGACUUCAUGCACCUUGGUUGUUUUUUUUUGUUUGUUUGUUUGUUUUUUUGUUUUGUUUUGUUCCACACCCCAUCUUCCUACCAUAUAUCAUUUUGUUAGUUUCGGUCUCAGGAAGGGUUGCUGAACAAGCCGGAAGAAUAGCCUGGCAUUUUCAAGUCCUAAAAGGUAAAACUUUAGCAACGGUAAACGCUGGCCAGGUCUUAGGGGGGCUACACCUACGAGGCUAGGAACACAGUGUGGGUGUGGACACAUUCUCACAAGAAAGAGAGGCAGUGAGCUGCGAAGAUGGCCCAGUUGGUCAGGUGUUUGCCGUGCAACCCCGAGUGCCUGCGCUUAGUCUGCACGUCCCGAGGAAGAGCUGGGUGCCGCAUUGCUUAACUGUAGCCCCAGUGCUGGGACAGUGUAGGGACAGGAAGAUCCCGGGAGCUUGGUGGUCUCUUGCCUAGCCUAAUCAAGAAGCUCCAGGUCCAGCGAGGGGCCCUGCCUCGAAAGACAAAGUGGACUGUGACUGAGGAAGACAUCUGCUGACCUCUGUCCUCUGUUUGCACGGACACAUACAUGAGCAUCCCCCCCCCCACACACACAAAGGUGAAGAAGAGAGGCAUUGCCCAAGGGAGGAAAGUAUUUAGUCAUGAGAAAAUUAUACAAAGGCAUUCAUUAUGUUCGAACUUUCUAGAAAAGGUGGGGUUUUGGAUCAGCAUAAAAUGAUACAAUGAGGUCAAGUUACAGCAAAGUGAAGAACAGUUUUAGAAUCCCCCAAGUACUCUUGUAUUUGGUGCCACCUGCUGGCCGGUGUCUGCUCCGUCUUCCUUGGAAUUGGCACCUUUUCUUUUCCCUCCAAGCCGAUGCCAGACUAGAACUACCCUGUGAAGGGUGAAAAAUGGUAGAGUCCCAAGACACCGGGAACAUACGGCUGUCCUCAUCCUGAGUCUUCUGUCCGCUGGGGCUUGCGGCCAUCUCCUGGUUAAUUAGAGCUCACCCUUCCUUGGUUGUUAUCGGAACGAGGAACCAAGGACAUGAAGAUCCAUCUGCUGCCUCUUCGCUGUUUGAGAUAGGAAAAAGGAUCUGCUUCUUACACUUUAGCUGACCCUUCCCACCUCAUCAUCACCCGGAGGUAGUUUCACACUGAAGAAGGCGGUGAGGCUGUGGAGAAAGGCUUUUUGGGAAUCCGUAGAAGCUAUCUGAACUCCAGAGAGGCGGAGCUGCUCUGUGGGCAGAAGUCUAAGUAAACGCUGGCCCGUAAAUAAGAAUCUUCAGUUAUUCACCAGUGCUCUCCGGGGCUGACCUAGCCCUCUUAGUGGCGGGCUGAGUAGGAGGGGCCUCUACUCCCAUCUACGGUCAAACUUUGCUUGGCCAACAAGGUAUCCAUAAUAACGACCCUGACGGGCUGGAGAGAUGGCUCAGAGGUUAAGAGCACUGACUGCUCUUCCAGAGGUCUUGAGUUCAAUUCCCAGCAACCACAUGGUGGCUCACAACCAUCUGUAAUGAGAUCUGGC